rnacentral:rRNA from 1 species
AACAGGAAACAGCUUGCUGUUUCGCUGACGAGUGGCGGACGGGUGAGUAAUGUCUGGGAAACUGCCUGAUGGAGGGGGAUAACUACUGGAAACGGUAGCUAAUACCGCAUAACGUCGCAAGACCAAAGAGGGGGACCCUCGGGCCUCUUGCCAUCGGAUGUGCCCAGAUGGGAUUAGCUUGUUGGUGGGGUAACGGCUCACCAAGGCGACGAUCCCUAGCUGGUCUGAGAGGAUGACCAGCCACACUGGAACUGAGACACGGUCCAGACUCCUACGGGAGGCAGCAGUGGGGAAUAUUGCACAAUGGGCGCAAGCCUGAUGCAGCCAUGCCGCGUGUAUGAAGAAGGCCUUCGGGUUGUAAAGUACUUUCAGCGGGGGGGAAGGGAGUAAAGUUAAUACCUUUGCUCAUUGACGUUACCCGCAGAAGAAGCACCGGCUAACUCCGUGCCAGCAGCCGCGGUAAUACGGAGGGUGCAAGCGUUAAUCGGAAUUACUGGGCGUAAAGCGCACGCAGGCGGUUUGUUAAGUCAGAUGUGAAAUCCCCGGGCUCAACCUGGGAACUGCAUCUGAUACUGGCAAGCUUGAGUCUCGUAGAGGGGGGUAGAAUUCCAGGUGUAGCGGUGAAAUGCGUAGAGAUCUGGAGGAAUACCGGUGGCGAAGGCGGCCCCCUGGACGAAGACUGACGCUCAGGUGCGAAAGCGUGGGGAGCAAACAGG